rnacentral:tRNA from 1 species
GGUCGGUUGGCAGAGAGGCUAUGCAGAGGACUGCAAAUCCUUGUACACUGGUUCGAAUCCGGUAUCGACCUCCA